UACAGAGGGUGCAAGCGUUGUUCGGAAUUAUUGGGCGUAAAGGGCGCGUAGGCGGUGCCACAAGUCACCUGUGAAAUCUCCGGGCUUAACUCGGAGCCUGCAGGCGAAACUGUGGUGCUGGAGUGUGGGAGAGGUGCGUGGAAUUCCGAGUGUAGAGGUGAAAUUCGUAGAUAUUCGGAGGAACACCAGUGGCGAAGGCGGCUCACUGGUCCGGUACUGACGCUGAGGUGCGAAAGCGUGGGGAGCAAACAGG
rnacentral:rRNA from 1 species